UCAAGUAAUUAAGUGCAUGUGGUGGAUGCCUUGGCAGUCAGAGGCGAUGAAAGACGUGAUAGCCUGCGAAAAGCUCCGGGGAGGCGGCAAAUAUCCUUUGAUCCGGAGAUGUCUGAAUGGGGGAACCCACCUACUUUAAGGUAGGUAUUGCAACAUGAAUACAUAGUGUUGCAAGGCGAACGAGGGGAAGUGAAACAUCUCAGUACCCUUAGGAAAAGAAAUCAAUUGAGAUUCCCUCAGUAGCGGCGAGCGAACGGGGAUCAGCCCAUUAAGUUAUGUGUGUUUUAGUGGAACGCUCUGGGAAGUGCGAACGUAGAGGGUGAUAUUCCCGUACACGAAAGGGCACACAUAAUGAUGACGAGUAGGGCGAGGCACGUGAAACCUUGUCUGAAUAUGGGGGGACCAUCCUCCAAGGCUAAAUACUCCUGACUGACCGAUAGUGAACCAGUACCGUGAGGGAAAGGCGAAAAGAACCCCUGUGAGGGGAGUGAAAUAGAUCCUGAAACCGCAUGCAUACAAGCAGUGGGAGCACCUUCGUGGUGUGACUGCGUACCUUUUGUAUAAUGGGUCAGCGACUUAUAUUCAGUAGCGAGGUUAACCGUAUAGGGGAGCCGUAGAGAAAUCGAGUCUUAAUAGGGCGUUUAGUUGCUGGGUAUAGACCCGAAACCAGGCGAUCUAUCCAUGAGCAGGUUGAAGGUUGGGUAACACUAACUGGAGGACCGAACCCACUGUCGUUGAAAAGCCAGGGGAUGACUUGUGGAUAGGGGUGAAAGGCUAAUCAAGCCUGGUGAUAGCUGGUUCUCCCCGAAAGCUAUUUAGGUAGCGCCUCGGACGAAUACCAUAGGGGGUAGAGCACUGUUUCGGCUAGGGGGUCAUCCCGACUUACCAAACCGAUGCAAACUCCGAAUACCUAUGAGUACUAUCCGGGAGACAGACUGCGGGUGCUAACGUCCGUAGUCAAGAGGAAAACAAUCCAGACCGCCAGCUAAGGCCCCAAAAUCAUAGUUAAGUGGGAAACGAUGUGGGAAGGCAUAGACAGCUAGGAGGUUGGCUUAGAAGCAGCCACCCUUUAAAGAAAGCGUAAUAGCUCACUAGUCGAGUCGGCCUGCGCGGAAGAUGUAACGGGGCUAAAACUAUGUGCCGAAGCUGCGGAUGUAUACUUUGUAUACGUGGUAGGGGAGCGUUCUGUAAGCCGAUGAAGGUGUGUUGAGAAGCAUGCUGGAGGUAUCAGAAGUGCGAAUGCUGACGUGAGUAACGACAAAACGGGUGAAAAACCCGUUCGCCGAAAGACCAAGGGUUCCAGUCCAACGUUAAUCGGGGCUGGGUGAGUCGACCCCUAAGGCGAGGCCGAAAGGCGUAGUCGAUGGGAAAAUGGUUAAUAUUCCAUUACUUCUGUGUAAUGCGAUGAGAGGACGGAGAAGGCUAAAUCAGCCUGGCGUUGGUUGUCCAGGUGAAAGGAUGUAGGCAUGUAUCUUAGGCAAAUCCGGGGUACUCUAUGCUGAGAUCUGAUAGCAAGCUGUACUUGUACAGCGAAGUGGUUGAUGCCAUGCUUCCAGGAAAAGUCUCUAAGCUUCAGUUACACAGGAAUCGUACCCGAAACCGACACAGGUGGUCAGGUCGAGUAGACCAAGGCGCUUGAGAGAACUCUGCUGAAGGAACUAGGCAAAAUGGUACCGUAACUUCGGGAGAAGGUACGCUGUUGUUGGUGAUGGAACUCGCUUCCUGAGCUGACGACAGCCGCAGAAACCAGGCCGCUGCAACUGUUUAUUAAAAACAUAGCACUCUGCAAACACGAAAGUGGACGUAUAGGGUGUGAUGCCUGCCCGGUGCUGGAAGGUUAAUUGAUGGGGUUAGCGUAAGCGAAGCUCUUGAUCGAAGCCCCAGUAAACGGCGGCCGUAACUAUAACGGUCCUAAGGUAGCGAAAUUCCUUGUCGGGUAAGUUCCGACCUGCACGAAUGGCAUAAUGAUGGCGGCGCUGUCUCCAGCAGAGGCUCAGUGAAAUCGAAAUCGCUGUGAAGAUGCAGUGUACCCGCGGCUAGACGGAAAGACCCCGUGAACCUUUACUGCAGCUUGACACUGAACUUUGACCUUACUUGUGUAGGAUAGGUGGGAGGCUUUGAAGCUGGAACGCUAGUUCCAGUGGAGCCGUCCUUGAAAUACCACCCUGGUAAUGUUGAGGUUCUAACUCUGUCCCGUGAUCCGGGACGAGGACCGUGUCUGGUGGGUAGUUUGACUGGGGCGGUCUCCUCCUAAAGAGUAACGGAGGAGUACGAAGGUGCGCUCAGCGUGGUCGGAAAUCACGCGUAGAGUAUAAAGGCAAAAGCGCGCUUAACUGCGAGACCCACAAGUCGAGCAGGUACGAAAGUAGGUCUUAGUGAUCCGGUGGUUCUGUAUGGAAGGGCCAUCGCUCAACGGAUAAAAGGUACUCUGGGGAUAACAGGCUGAUACCGCCCAAGAGUUCAUAUCGACGGCGGUGUUUGGCACCUCGAUGUCGGCUCAUCUCAUCCUGGGGCUGAAGCAGGUCCCAAGGGUAUGGCUGUUCGCCAUUUAAAGAGGUACGCGAGCUGGGUUUAGAACGUCGUGAGACAGUUCGGUCCCUAUCUACCGUGGGCGCUGGAAAUUUGAGAGGAUCUGCUCCUAGUACGAGAGGACCAGAGUGGACGAACCUCUGGUGUACCGGUUGUGACGCCAGUCGCAUCGCCGGGUAGCUA
rnacentral:rRNA from 1 species